rnacentral:rRNA from 1 species
CAUGUCUUUUUGAUUUUAAUUUAAGGUUUGAUCUGCUCAAUGAUUAUUUAAAUUGCCGCGGUAUUUUGACCGUGCGAAGGUAGCAUAAUAAUUAGUUUUUUUAUUGAAAGCUGGAAUGAAUGAUUGGACGAAAGAUAAGCUGUCUCUUUAUUAUUUUAUUUUGAAUUUAACCUUUAAGUUAAAAGGCUUAAAUUUUUUUGAAAGACGAGAAGACCCUAUAGAGUUUAAUAUUUUUAUUUAUUUAUAAUUUUUAGAAUUUAUUUUUUAUAUUGGUAAAAUUAUUUGGUUGGGGUGACUUGAAGAUUUAUUAAACUCUUUUUUAUUAAAUCAUUGAUUUGUGAAUAAUUAAUCUAGAUUUGUCUAAGUUUAAAUUUAAUUACCUUAGGGAUAACAGCGUUAUUUCUUUUUAGAGUUCUUAUUGAAAAAGGAGUUUGCGACCUCGAUGUUGGAUUAAAAUUAGUCUUAUGGUGCAGCAGCUGUAAGUCUAGGUCUGUUCGACCUUUAAAUUUUUACAUGAUCUGAGU